rnacentral:rRNA from 1 species
UAGCCAGCACCCCGAGUGGUCGGGACGGAUUAUUGGGCCUAAAGCAUCCGUAGCCGGUUCUACAAGUCUUCCGUUAAAUCCACCUGCUUAACAGAUGGCUGCGGAGGAUACUAUAGAGCUAGGAGGCGGGAGAGGCAAGCGGUACUUAGUGGGUAGGGGUAAAAUCCGUUGAUCCAUUGAAGACCACCAGUGGCGAAGGCGGCUUGCCAGAACGCACUC